CCGGACACCUCAGCAGGGCCGCACCGCAAAGCGACCCCGCCCCAUCGCCCC
rnacentral:ncRNA from 1 species